GUGAAAUUAAUUAUUAAAAAUUAUUUGAAGAAAUAAUUAGUUGAGAACCUAUCUAUAGAUGUAUAUGGGUUGAUCAAGCCAUCCUCAGGCCUGUAUGCAGUUUGUGUGGAUUCUAAUCCCGCUAAGAAAUUAAGGUAAUUCCUCGGAUUGGAGAUAGAAGCUACCAAUUCGUAUAAAAUAGUGAAAAAACUUUUAGACUAAAGUCCAAGUCUUUAAGCUUAAUCAAUUCAUAAACAUAGAGGUCUUGUAUUUUUCUUUUAGUUA
rnacentral:lncRNA from 1 species